CCUAGUUUGCCUGAGUGGUUAAGGGUGAAGACUUAAGAUAUUUUGCACAUAAGUGCAUGUGGGUUCUAACCCCACAACUAGAA
rnacentral:tRNA from 1 species